rnacentral:sRNA from 1 species
CUGAUGACGGGCUAUGCUCACGAGGUAUUGGGGGCGACAAAUACGGAUGGGAGGGUAGUGGUGUUUCCCUCGACUAGCCCCAAUGAGUUGAGGGUGAGUGUGUAUGAGCCCUCAAGAGGGGUGCCCGUGGCGG